GCUCGGCAUUCAGCUUUCUGUUAAGGAAUUUUAGGGAGCUCCCGAGCCUGUGAACCAGUUCCAUUGUUUCAAGGGGACCUCAAUGGAAGAGUUAGAGAAAAGACUGAAGGAGCUGAAGGGGUUUGCAACCCCAUAGGAAGAACAGCAAUACCAAUCAACCAGACUCCACCAGCGUUCCCAGGGACUAAACCACCAACCAAUGAGUACACAUGGAGGGGCCCAUGACUUCAGCCACAUAUAUUGCAGAGGAUGGCACUGUCCACUAUCAAUAGGAAGGAAAGCCCUUGACUCUGAAGGCUUGCUUCCUCAAUGUAGGGGAAUGAGGUUGGCGUGGGUGGGUGGGAGUGGGAGUGUCCUCAUAGAAGCAGGCAGAGGGGGAGGGGGUAUGGGAGAACCAGGGAAAGGGGACAAUAUUUGAAAUGUAAAUACAUAAAAUAUCCAAGAAAAAUAAAAUUUAAAAAACCAUU
rnacentral:lncRNA from 1 species